CCUACGGGAGGCAGCAGUGGGGAAUAUUGCACAAUGGGCGCAAGCCUGAUGCAGCCAUGCCGCGUGUAUGAAGAAGGCCUUCGGGUUGUAAAGUACUUUCAGCAGUGAGGAAGGUAGUGUAGUUAAUAGCUGCAUUAUUUGACGUUAGCUGCAGAAGAAGCACCGGCUAACUCCGUGC
rnacentral:rRNA from 1 species